rnacentral:rRNA from 1 species
CUAAUCAUGCUAAAACCCCACUUCGGGAGGGUGUAUUUAUAGAUAAAAACCCACGCCCUUCGGGGCUUCUUGGUGAUUCAUGAUACUUUACGGAUCGCAUGGCCUUGCGCCGGCGACGGUUCAUUCAAAUUUCUGCCCUAUCAACUUUCGAUGGUAAGGUAUUGGCUUACCAUGGUUUCAACGGGUAACGGGGAAUUAGGGUUCGAUUCCGGAGAGGGAGCCUGAGAAACGGCUACCACAUCCAAGGAAGGCAGCAGGCGCGCAAAUUACCCAAUCCCGACACGGGGAGGUAGUGACAAUAAAUACUGAUACAGGGCUCUUUUGGGUCUUGUAAUUGGAAUGAGUACAAUUUAAACCUCUUAACGAGGAACAAUUGGAGGGCAAGUCUGGUGCCAGCAGCCGCGGUAAUUCCAGCUCCAAUAGCGUAUAUUAAAGUUGUUGCAGUUAAAAAGCUCGUAGUUGAAACUUGGGUCUGGCUGGCAGGUCCGCCUCACCGCGUGUACUUGUCCGGCCGGGCCUUCCUUCUGGAGAACCUCAUGCCCUUCACUGGGCGUGUUGGGGACCAGGACUUUUACUUUGAAAAAAUUAGAGUGUUCAAAGCAGGCCUUUGCUCGAAUACGUUAGCAUGGAAUAAUAGAAUAGGACGUGCGGUCCUAUUUUGUUGGUUUCUAGGACCGCCGUAAUGAUUAAUAGGGACAGUCGGGGGCAUCAGUAUUCAAUUGUCAGAGGUGAAAUUCUUGGAUUUAUUGAAGACUAACUACUGCGAAAGCAUUUGCCAAGGAUGUUUUCAUUAAUCAGUGAACGAAAGUUAGGGGAUCGAAGACGAUCAGAUACCGUCGUAGUCUUAACCGUAAACUAUGCCGACUAGGGAUCGGGCGAUGUUCUUUUUCUGACUCGCUCGGCACCUUACGAGAAAUCAAG